AUUGGUUCUCCCUCUGCCACCCGC
rnacentral:siRNA from 1 species